rnacentral:piRNA from 2 species
UGUCAUUUCAACCAAUUAGACUGAAAGC